UUUGAGGGAACUAUUGGCACCCUUCUCAAUGAAGUACUCGGCCACAUCAGGAUACCCAUAGGCAAACAAGAAGUGCAGGCCUGUAUUGCCUUUGACAUUUUGAACAUCCAUAUUGCCUCC
rnacentral:rRNA from 9 species